rnacentral:lncRNA from 1 species
AAACCCAUUACACAUCCGCCCUAUAGGAAUGCAAUUUUAUCUUUGGAAGAUGGCGCCAAACCUUAAAAUAAUUACUCUUAGAGAAAAUAAGUAUUUGUUGAUAAGUCCUUGUCAAGAGUCAUAAAAUGUUAAUAGGCCUUCUGGGCAGAAGAUGAUGUAAAUCACCUAAACCAUUUGUAUACGAUAAAUUUGCAGGAAAGAAACCCUGGUUUUUGAUAAGAAUCAAAGACUGCUGACUUUGCAUCCCCUAUUAUCCUCUAUGUGUAACUUAGAGGUAUAUAAGCCCCUGUUGAAAAUAAAGCUAUGGGCCUUGCUCACCAACGGUUGGUCUCCCCAUGUCAUUCUUCCCUUUAACUUCCAGCUGAGUCUCCAUCUGGAGCGCGGAACCCACCACGCUUACUAAUUACGCCUGGGCUUCUAAGACCCACUCGAGAAGGUGUCUAGGGUGAGGCACCUUCCGCUAUUCGAGAGGGCGCCUGCGGCCUACAUAAGUGGUGCAAACUUCUUGUCUUGAAGUUUUAUUGGUCUCCCGCGUAAACCAAGCUACUCAGCCUCUUUUCUCCACUGAAUUUUCCUACUGAGCUAUCCUCAUUCUAUUAUUCUUUAUAUCUCUAAUUAGCAUAUAAAUAGCCACCUAGGCCGUCUCUCCUUCGAAUACCCUGGAUCAGCUGGGGCUGGUCCCCGGCACAUGGGCAGUUUGUAAAAGUAGGAUAUUUUCUUAGAAAGGGUUUAGGAAAUCUUCAUGCAACUCAGUGUUCAUUUUAACAGAGUAUCUCUGAGAGCCUUCCACAGAAGUAUGCGGAUCAUUUAUCUGGAGCUGCUGGUCAAAGAGGAAAAGAAGACAUUAAAUGGACAAGUAGAAGAUUGUGUUAGCUUGUUGAAAAUAUGGGAUGCAAUUCUUUUGUGUGAAAGAUAA